GUGCUCACUUUAGCAGCACAUAUGCUAAAAUUGGAACAUUACAGAGAUGAUUAGCAUGGCUUCUGCACAAGGAUGACAUGCAAAUUCAUGGAGCAUUCCAUAUUUUU
ensembl:snRNA U6 U6 spliceosomal RNA